CCGAACCCGAAAGAGCCAACCAAGAGAUGUAAAAAUCAGGAUAACCACCAGGUAUUACUCGGUCUUCAUGAGCCAACCAAGGGAUGUAAAACGCAGCAUAACCACCAGAAAUAUCUAACUACCAAGUCCAGAAGAGCUGAGCAAGGGAUUUGAAACUCAGGAUAACCACCAGAAACAUCAAGCUAAUCCAGCCAACGGGAAUGGAAACAUUGCUUCCACCGCUUUGUCCUCCAAGCCACACUUCUGGGUGCAACUAAUAUGUACAUCAGAAUGCAGUAAUUGAGAUCAAACAGUGCGUCUUGACAUGAAGAUCACUUUGUAGCUGAAGCCCCUGCUGACUUAUCAUCAUUGGGCAGGCCCUGCGAUAAAUAAGCAGAUCAGGAAAGGUUGUCCAAGAGGGCAAUAGGUGGAGUUACUACUUCCCACCAUUUAUCUUCAAGAACAAUACAUGUAAAAGUAUAAACACCAAGAGAACCCCACAUACCAGGUCAUUGUCAAGCAAAUUGAUAUUCAAGAACUUUGGCAGGACAGAUUUCACAUCAGAAGUUGUUGCCGACUUCUCAUUCUGCAGAUCUUGAUUGGGGUUG
rnacentral:lncRNA from 1 species